rnacentral:rRNA from 1 species
UGCCAGCCGCCGCGGUAAUACGGAGGGGGCAAGCGUUGUUCGGAAUUACUGGGCGUAAAGCGCACGUAGGCGGACUGAUCAGUUGGGGGUGAAAUCCCGAGGCUUAACCUCGGAACUGCCUUCAAUACUGUCAGUCUUGAGAUCGGAAGAGGUGAGUGGAAUUCUCGGUGUAGCGGUGAAAUGCGCAGAUAUCGAGAGGAACACCAUUAGCGAAGGCGGCUCACUGGGCCGGUACAGACGCUGAGGAGCGAAAGCGUGGGUAGCUAACGGGAUUAGAUA